UCCAAGUGCAGUCCCAGCUACACAGGAGGCUGGGGCAGAAGGAUUGCUUGAAUCCAGGAGUUCUGUGCUGUAGUACCACGUUAUGCACUAAGCAUGUCCAAACUAAGUUCAGCAUCAAUAUGGUGACCUCUCCAGAGCAGGUGACCACUCCAUUGCCUCAGGAGGAAUGAACUGACCCAGGCCAGAAAAGGAGCAGGUCACAACUCCUAUACUGAUCACGAGAGUAGUUGGAGCAUGCCUGUGAAUAGCCACAGCACUCCAGCCAGGACAACACAGCAAAACCCUGUCUCU
ensembl:misc_RNA Metazoa_SRP Metazoan signal recognition particle RNA